GGCCGAAAUGUUUGUUUAUUGACAGGCGAAGGGCGGGUGAUGGGCUGAUGGCACGCCUCGCCUAUUGCUUACCAAAUCUUAAGACGAGAUUUACAGGAUUUCCCUCUUUCUCUACGUCUUAAGAGAAAGAGAGGGAAGUGCUCUGGCCAUCCUCAGGCUGCAGCUCGCCCUCAGAGCCGCGUAAAGUGAGUUCCAUGGGGAGAGGCAGAACAGCUGUGUGGCAGCACCUCAGCAUCACCUGAGGGACAUGCACUCAGGUCCUCACUCCCCAGAAUCUAGAAUGUAUGAAGAGGACCAUGAGCCCCAAGGGAUGGUGCCAUAGUGUGUUGGUGGUGCAGGCUGGUGCUGUGUUCCUGGUGCUGGGACCAGUAGGGGAGCUGGUGCAGCGGGCAGAGGCUGUGGUGGCAUACAGCACACAGAACCAGCCCUCCGUCUACUCGGAAGAAUUAACCAAUCAAAAGCUAGAAAGCUUUUCACAACUAUGGCAGGGAAUAUUUCUUUGGGGAUUUUUCUCCAUAUUAUUUAUUCACAUAGUGUCUGCCAUCAUUGCCUUUCUGAUGCUGAGACGACAUAAGUAUGGAAG